AUGUCCACACAUAUGACAGAUUCAAGUUGAUCAGAGGAUAUCAUCAUCUUCAUGAAAAAACAGGAAAUUAGAGACCACCAAUUUGCUCCAAAUAGAUUUGCAUGGAUCUAUCAGAAUAUUACUUCAGACACAGUUGACUUUCAAGGAUGUGUUCAUAGAUUUCACUCCUGAGGUAUGGGAAUGUCUGAACCCUGCCCAGAGGACCUUGUACAAGGACGUGAUGGUGGAGACCCUCAGGAUCCUGCUGUCUGUGGGCAUAGAACCACCAGGAUGUUAAGGAAAUUAAAUAAAUUGUCGUGUUGAGGCUUCAAGACAAAGCAGUGCAUUCCUCUGCCCUUCCUUCUAACCUGUCUGGACACACCCUGACUGCAGACUCUUUACUGCUGAGCCAGCUGGGAAGCCCCAAAUAACAAGGUGAGUCUUUAAAUUUUAAUGAUAGAUAUUCCAAUUCUAGCAUCAAGGCAGGAAAAUGAAAAAUACUCAUUUUUGAAAUGUCAUUUGUACCACUCUACCUGAAAGUGAGAGAUAAACGCUUGUAGUUGGGAAAUUAUUUUAAAUUUUUAUUAUGUAAACUUUUUAGGUUUGUUUUGAAAGGCAUGAAACGGUUUUUUUCUUACAAUCUUUAAUUUUUUUUCUUUUUUAUUUCCACAUAUAAAUUUUCAGUAAAGUUCACUCUAAUGUAAUGACUUCUUCACUCUUAUGAUAACUUCACAAACAUAGCCAUGGGUAUUCUUAAUUUCUCAGCCACUGUGCAGCAAGGCCAGGCCAUGAGACCAGUUUUGCCAAAUACAGUGUGAGUGCAAGUGAUGCAUUACUCAUCUGAAUGAUGUUAUAAAUAAAUCACCCAGGAAACUCCCUGAUGAACCAAUGGUUUGAUUUCUGUGCUUUCGCUGCCUGGAGGGCCUGAAUUCAGGCUCUGGUCAGGGAACUAACAUUCUUCAAGCUGCAUGGCAUGUCAAAAAAAAAAAAAAUCACUAAGACCCUUUGUCACUCCCCAACUGGAUUAAUUGACCCAAAUGUGACCUAACUAUUGCUCCAAGCAAUUACUGAUGCAAUAUCAGUAGUUUUCUGCCAGCCUGUAAAUUGUUUUUUUAACUUAUGGUCUGUUUAAUGUGAGGAUGAUUCAUUUGUU